GACGAACGCUGGCGGCGUGCCUAAUACAUGCAAGUCGAGCGAAGCGGCGGAUGGGUGAGUAACGCGUGGGUAACCUGCCCUUAAGUCUGGGAUACCAUUUGGUAACAGAUGCUAAUAUUGGAUACUACAGUAUGGUCCUUCGAUGCAUUAGCUAGUUGGUAAGGUAACGGCUUACAAAGGCGAUGAUGCAUAGCCGGGUUGAGAGAGUGAUCGGCCAAAGUGGGACGGAGACACGGCCCAAACUCCUACGGGAGGCAGCAGUAGGGAAUAUUCCACAAUGGACGAAAGUCUGAUGGAGCAACGCCGCGUGAGUGAAGAAGGUUUUCGGGUCGUAAAGCUCUGUUGUUGGUGAGGCGGUAAUCAAACAGAAAGUCACGGCUAACUACGUGCCAGCAGCCGCGGUAAUAC
rnacentral:rRNA from 1 species